rnacentral:lncRNA from 1 species
UUUAGAGUUGAAACUCUAAUACUGACCAACUGGGGAAAAGUUCAGUUUAGGGUUUAAAACCCUAAUGCUGACUGAAGAAAAGUUCAGUUUAGGGUUUAAAACCCUAAUGCUGGCUGAAUGGAAAAAGUUCAGUUUAAGGUUUAAAACCCUAAUGCUGACUAAAAGGAAAAAUUCAGUUUAGGGUUUAAAACCCUAAUGCUGAUUGCAUUGAAAAGCUCAGUUUAGGGUUUAAAACCCUAAUGCUGGCUGAAUGGAAAAAGUUCAGUUUAGGGUUUAAAACCCUAAUGCUGACUAAAGGAAAAAUUCAGUUUAGGGUUUAAAACCAUAAUGCUGAUUGCAUGGAAAAGCUCAGUUUAGGGUUUAAAACCCUAGUGCUGGCUGAAUGGAAAAAAGUUCAGUUUAGGGUUUAAAACCCUAAUGCUGACUAAAAGGAAAAAUUCAGUUUAGGGUUUAAAACCCUAAUGCUGAUUGCAUGGAAAAGCUCAGUUUAGGGUUUAAAACCCUAAUGCUGGCUGAAUGGAAAAAAGUUCAGUUUAGGGUUUAAAACCCUAAUGCUGACUAAAGGAAAAAUUCAGUUUAGGGUUUAAAACCCUAAUGCUGAUUGCAUGGAAAAGCUCAGUUUAGGGUUUAAAGCCCUAAUGCUGGCUGAAUGGAAAAAAGUUCAGUUUAGGGUUUAAAACCCUAAUGCUGACUAAAGGAAAAAUUCAGUUUAGGAUUUAAAACCCUAAUGCUGAUUGCACGGAAAAGCUCAGUUUAGGGUUUAAAACCCUAAUGCUGGCUGAAUGGAAAAAAGUUCAGUUUAGGGUUUAAAACCCUAAUGCUGAUUAAAGGAAAAAUUAAGUGUAGGGGUUUAAAACCCUAAUGCUGAUUGCAUGGAAAAGCUCAGUUUAGGGUUUAAAACUCUAAUGCUGGCUGAAAGGAAAAAUUCAGUUUAGGGUUUAAAACCCUAAUGCUGAUUGCAUGGAAAAGCUCAGCUUAGGGUUUAAAACCCUAAUGUUGGCU